GCGGCGCGCUUACACAUGCAAGUCGAGCGAGAAAGGGCUUCGGCCCCGGUAAAGCGGCGCACGGGUGAGUAACACGUAGGUAAUCUGCCCCCAGGUGGUGGAUAACGUUCCGAAAGGAGCGCUAAUACAGCAUGAGACCACGUCCUCGAAAGGGGAUGAGGUCAAAGCCGGCCUCUUCAUGAAAGCUGGCGCCAGGGGAUGAGCCUGCGGCCCAUCAGCUAGUUGGUAGGGUAAUGGCCUACCAAGGCGAAGACGGGUAGCUGGUCUGAGAGGAUGAUCAGCCACACUGGAACUGAGACACGGUCCAGACUCCUACGGGAGGCAGCAGUGGGGAAUCUUGCGCAAUGGGCGAAAGCCUGACGCAGCGACGCCGCGUGAGUGAUGAAGGCCUUCGGGUUGUAAAGCUCUGUGGAGGGGGACGAAUAAGGGUUGGCUAACAUCCAGCUCGAUGACGGUACCCCUUUAGCAAGCACCGGCUAACUCUGUGCCAGCAGCCGCGGUAAGACAGAGGGUGCAAACGUUGUUCGGAAUUACUGGGCG
rnacentral:rRNA from 1 species